AACGAACGCUGGCAGCAGGCUUAACACAUGCAAGUCGAACGCAUCCUUCGGGGUGAGUGGCAGACGGGUGAGUAACGCGUGGGAACGUGCCCUUCAGUUCGGGAUAACCCAGGGAAACUUGGGCUAAUACCGGAUACGUGCGAGAGCAGAAAGAUUUAUCGCUGAAGGAUCGGCCCGCGUCUGAUUAGCUAGUUGGUGGGGUAAUGGCCCACCAAGGCGACGAUCAGUAGCUGGUCUGAGAGGAUGAUCAGCCACAUUGGGACUGAGACACGGCCCAAACUCCUACGGGGGGCGGCAGUGGGGAAUAUUGGACAAUGGGCGCAAGCCUGAUCCAGCCAUGCCGCGUGAGUGAUGAAGGCCUUAGGGUUGUAAAGCUCUUUCGUCCGGGACGAUAAUGACGGUACCGGAAGAAGAAGCCCCGGCUAACUUCGUGCCAGCCGCCGCCGUAA
rnacentral:rRNA from 1 species